CGCGGGGUGGAGAAGUGGCAUCUCGCCAGGCCCAUAACCUGGAGAUCGCAGGUUCAAAUCCUGCCCCCGCAACCA
rnacentral:tRNA from 1 species